rnacentral:rRNA from 1 species
GACGAACGCUGGCGGCGUGCUUAACACAUGCAAGUCGAACGGAAAGGCCCCUUUGGGGGUACUCGAGUGGCGAACGGGUGAGUAACACGUGAGUAACCUGCCCUUGACUUCGGGAUAACUUCAGGAAACUGGGCUAAUACCGGAUAGGAAUCCUUGCUGCAUGGUGGGGGUUGGAAAGCUUCGGCGGUUUUGGAUGGACUCGCGGCUUAUCAGCUUGUUGGUGGGGUAGUGGCUUACCAAGGCUUUGACGGGUAGCCGGCCUGAGAGGGCGACCGGCCACAUUGGGACUGAGAUACGGCCCAGACUCCUACGGGAGGCAGCAGUGGGGAAUAUUGCACAAUGGGCGGAAGCCUGAUGCAGCAACGCCGCGUGCGGGAUGACGGCCUUCGGGUUGAAAACCGCUUUCAGCAGGGGCGAAGCUUGUGGUGACGGUACCUGCAGAAGAAGCACCGGCUAACUACGUG